UACGGGGGGAGCAAGCGUUGUUCGGAUUUACUGGGCGUAAAGGGCGCGUAGGCGGCCACUGCAAGUCAGUUGUGAAAUCUCCGGGCUUAACCCGGAAAGAUCAACUGAUACUGCAGGGCUAGAGUGCAGAAGGGGCAACUGGAAUUCUCGGUGUAGCGGUGAAAUGCGUAGAUAUCGAGAGGAACACCUGCGGCGAAGGCGGGUUGCUGGGCUGACACUGACGCUGAGGCGCGAAAGCCAGGGGAGCGAACGGG
rnacentral:rRNA from 1 species